UGGAGCUGUGUGCCUGGCUCGCCCCUGCGCUCCGGAGACGUACCACCCGGCUGCGGCCCGACAUCCUGGUCAACAAGAGGGUCACCAUUGCCCUCUGGAAGCUGGCCACUCUGGACAGCUACUGCUCAGUGGGACACUCAGUGCCGUUGUGAUGCAGGUUGUCCAUGCCAUGAAUGACAUCCUGUUCCAGGGAAUCAUCCGCCUUCAGGGUACUGACACAACAGUGGCUGGCUUUGCUGCUCUGGGGUUCCCCAACUGCGGGGGAGCCAUGGAUGCAACCCACAUCCCCAUCUGUGCCCCAGAACAUCGAGUGGCCCAUUUUAUUUAACCAGAAGGGGUACUUCUCCGUCAUGCUCCAGGCCCUCGUGGACCACCGUGGCCGCUUCACAGACAUUUGUGAGGUGCACAUGACGCCUGCGUCCUUCGUAACUCCAGCCUGCAUCGCAGGUGCAAAAAAGCCCAAUAAACUAUAAAAAACAAUGUUUUUCCUUUAACCUAGUACAUACAGAAUUUGCAGUUGCGUGAUAUACAGGUUUUAAUAAGCUUGUUUGCAAUGACCUGCAUCAUUAAUUAAAAUUAUGCAGUUUGUGAAUGUGAUCACCCUACAUUCACGCUAAUCAAAGCUUUAUAUCAAUAUGUACCUAGGAAAGGACAGACUUAGUUUUCUAACUCUGCAAGAUCACCACAUAGUCAUUCUCAAUGUACAACUGCACUAUAUAAAAAUAGCCCCGAAUACUUUCUAGGCCUUGGCUAUGCAUAAUUUUGAGUGUUCAUGUUUGUGGUGAAAGAUACUUUUCUGCCACAUGGUUUUUAAAGUCAUUCAGGAUAUUGGAAUGUUUCGAGUCUAGUCACUUAGUGCCAGGGGCAGCCCGUAAGUAGAGGCAGACUCGGUGGUUGCCUAGGGUGCCACCUUCAACGGGGUGGCUGGGGCGCCCGAUGAUGAUGUCAUGGGGCACCUGAUAAUUACAUCAUGCCAUUGACAGCCGUGCAGGAGGGGGCGCUGAUCGCGCAUUCCGCCUGGGGCAUCAGCUGCCACAGCCAGCCUCAGGCCACUCCUGCUUAAUGCAAUAGUACACAGAUGGUAGGUGCAUGGCAAAGGUACACAAUAAAUGCAAUUUAGCACUAGAUAUCAGUAUAUCUGAUAUGGAAAAUGUAAUUUUAUAAAUAUUUGACACUACUGUAUCCUAUACACACACCAGCUACGUCUAGACUGGCAUGCUUUUCCGCAAAUGCUUUUAACGGAAAAGUUUUCCG